CGGGGCGUAGCUCAGUGGUAGAGCGCUCGCUUCGGGUGCGAGAG
rnacentral:tRNA from 1 species